rnacentral:rRNA from 1 species
UAAGGAAUAUUGGUCAAUGGGCGGAAGCCUGAACCAGCCAUGCCGCGUGCAGGAAGACGGCCCUACGGGUUGUAAACUGCUUUUGUACCGGAAUAAACCCCCGUUCGUGAACGGGGCUGAAUGUACGGUAAGAAUAAGGAUCGGCUAACUCCGUGCCAGCAGCCGCGGUAAUACGGAGGAUCCAAGCGUUAUCCGGAUUUAUUGGGUUUAAAGGGUGCGUAGGCGGCCUGUUAAGUCAGGGGUGAAAGACGGUAGCUCAACUAUCGCAGUGCCCUUGAUACUGAUGGGCUUGAAUGUACUAGAGGUAGGCGGAAUGUGACAAGUAGCGGUGAAAUGCAUAGAUAUGUCACAGAACACCAAUUGCGAAGGCAGCUUACUAUGGUAUGAUUGACGCUGAGGCACGAAAGCGUGGGGAUCAAACA